CAAACAGGGACCCAAAUAUCCUGAUCCCUCAAUAUCACGGCCUAUUGCCAAGGCUAUUGGUUAUUCUCCAUAACCUGAUGGUAAGGCUCUUUUGCUGAAAAUACUACUUACUUCCAACAUUGAACAUGGAAGAAUAGAGCUGGUGUUCAUCUAGAAUCUUUGCCUUUACUGAAUAGCUUUCAUGCUCCAAAUAUACUUUGCAAACUACUGGGGAAGAAAAAUAAUUAUCAGUGUUUUCCACUUCUGUGGUUUGAAUAAAAAAAAUGGUCCCAUAGAUUCAUGAGUUUGAAUGCUUGUUCCAUAGAGAAUGGCAUGAUUAGGAGGUUUGGCCUUGUUAGAGUAGGUAUUGGCCUUAAUGGAGGAAGUGUGUUACUCUAGAGGCAGGCUUCGAGAUCUCAUAUAUGGUCAGGCUAGGACUAGUGUGAAACACGCUGCCUGUAGAUCAAGAUGUGGAACUCUCAGCUCCUCUCUCACCAUGUCUGUGUACAUGCUGUCAUCCUUCCUACUAUAAGGAUAAUCAACUGAACCUCUGACUAUAAGCCAGGCUCAAUUAAAUGUCUUCCUUUUAAGAGUUAUCAUGGUUAUGGUGUUUUUUCACAGCAAUAAAACUGUAACUAAGAGAUCCCAUUAGAAACUGUAACCUACAACAGUGACUGUAGGCUUCUAUUUGUUUUAAAGUUUACUUUUAAUAAGGGUUCUCAGGCACUGCAUCCCCCUUCUAGCCCACCAUCCAAUGGUAGGGGAGAAAGGGUGGUUAAAUAGGGCAAGGGGAUGUGGACCUGUUUAGAAGUAGUUCUCUGGGUCAAUUCCAAUCUCAGGAUACUGGUAGUUCAGUUCAGUGUGUCAGGAUAUGAAGCACAAAGCAGCAGCAUGAUCCAGCAGAAAUAGACAGCUCAAUGAAGUGAAGAUCAGCAAAGAUGAAGAUGACUAACACAGCAUUGCAAGAACAAGAUGUAAAAUUCUCAGCUCUUCCAGUACCAGCCUGGAAUGGUGACAUUCUUCCUGCCAUGACAAUAAUGGUCUGAACUUCUGACUCGAGAUAAAAGGCAGAAUCACAGGUCUUCCUGGUUGCUGCCGCUGCAGAGAGCCCCUGGGCAGCACCCCACGAGCGAACCUGAGCCUCGGGACCACAGGGAUUCCCAGAGAAGAUAAGAAGAAACCAACAAUGGAUAAGAGUAAGAUCAGAGGACUCAGGAGGAAAGAAUAAAGAAAAGUUCAAUCCUUCAGAAUACACCAUUUAAUUUUAAUUGA